rnacentral:lncRNA from 10 species
CCCACCUCAGCCUCCAAAAGUGCUAGGAUUACAGGCGUGAACCACUGCGCCCAGUCGGAAGUAAUAGUUAUUAACCAAUGUGAUGGCCGGGUGUGGGGACCCUCGCCUGUAAUCCCAGCACUUUGGGAGGCCAAGGAGGGAGGAUUGCUUGAGACCAAGAGUUUGAGACCAACCUGGACAACAUAGUGAGACCCUGUCUCUACAAAAAAAUUUUUUAAAAAUUAGCCAGGAAUGGUGGCAUGUGCCUGUAGACCCAGCUACUCAGUAGACUAAGGUGGGAGGAUCGCUUGAGCCUAGGAGGUUGAGGCUGUAGUGAACUGUGAAACAACAACCAAUGUGGCUACGUAAUGAAAUGGGGCUGGGCGGGGUGGCUCAUGCCUGUAAUCCCAGUACUUUGGGAGGCUGAAAUGGGCAGAUCACUUGAGCCCCAGAGUUCAAAACCAGCCUGAGCAAUGUGGUAAAACACCAUCUGUACAAAAAAUACAAAAAC